rnacentral:rRNA from 1 species
AUGGUGGUCAACCCUGCAACGCGGCAGUGCGCGCGGUUGCCGCCGCUGCCACCGCUGCCCUCGCGCGCCGGGAUGGAGGAUUUCUACGUCUUGGGAGGAGACAAGUUUCUGGUGUUCGAUCCCAGUGUCUCCCCUCACUACGAGGUGGUAUCGAUCCCUCUCGUUCCAUUUGAGGAGAGGCUGGGCCGGAUGCCCAGGGAAUCGGAGUGGCCGCCGUCGCCGUUCGUCCUGCCCGUCUACUCGUCGGACACGAAGCGGUGGGAGGAGAGGGCGUUCGUCCGGCAAGGAGGCGCCGCGGGAACCAUCGCCGGCAUGCUGGAGGAGGACAGGCUAGACCUGGACGUGAAGCGCUACGGCGUGUACCUGCGCGGAGCGCUCUACGCGCAGAUCCAAAUUAAAACGACUUCUGCUGCAGGAUAUCUAUGGCGGACCGUAAGUGUCGGGUGA